ACCUUGACCUUGUGCAGAAGCCAUUUAGUCAAUAAUCUAACAGCCAAACUAGCUAAAUUAAAUAACUGGGCUGGCUAGUAAGAUAGAUAACAAGCAGCUCUUCCAAAUCAGCUAGGAUUGAGAUGUUUCUGCUAGCUAUCUAAAGCUGAAGUCGAGUUUUAUUUUCCUGACAUUGUCAUAGAUUUUAAUACAACUCCUCUUUUUUAGGUAACGUUAUAGGUAUUCACGUAUUCAGAUGUUCCUGAGUACUGGACAGACCAUAUUUUCCAGAAUACAUUGACACGGAUCACUUUCGCUACAACAGAACAGAAACGUCAGGCUACGGGUCCUAUUGGAGGGCCCCUGAUAUCCGUAAGCUAACAUUGCCUUUUGGAAUCCCUGCUACUGGGGCUGAGAUUGGCACAAUUGUGCAAGAGACAUUUCAGCUUCAAAAAUGAUUUGUUCUACAAUACAUGGAGAGUGCAUAUGGAGAUCAGUUAUUUUCUUUGCUUGAUACGGAAGACCUAAAGGAUAAAGACACCAUCAAAGUGGUUGACCUUGACGGCUCACCUCUUAUUACUUUAAAUGUACAAGAAGAACUCAAUAACAUCUCCACAGAUAUAUCAGAUGAGAGGUGCUGCCUUGGAUCACGUGAUACUGUCCUCUCCAGAAAGUACCUCUUCCCAACGCUCCAGUCCAUGGCCAUCUGAGUUUGAAGUUCCUCGCUUUGCUUAUGAUACAGAGCUCAUUCUUGAGGUAGCUAAUGAAGCACACAUGAAGGAUGGAACACUACUCAACAAUCUGCCUGUGAAAUCAGACAUCCUGGAAAAACUGUCUGAAAGGAUCUUCCAGUUUACAGCCUAUCCGUCAACGCUACAAAUUUGGCAGGUUGCAGAAGCUUUGGUAAAAAAGCACCCAUGUCUUAAAGAGCUUGGGUCCUUCUCAGGCCUGUACGGAUGGCAAACCAGCCUAAAGUACAAGAUGGGCAAUUACAGAUCGAAACUGAGAGGAAUUGGUUGCCUAGAACUGGAAGUGAACUCUGUCAAGAGAAAAUCACCAGAGGACAAGCCCGUUGCCAAGAACAUAAACAAAACAAAGAAGGCGGAGGUAAAUUACCUCCCACCCCACCUGGAGAAACAGAUGAGACCCUGGAGAGGGAGCGAGUGGAGCUACUGGGAGAAGUACAAAUACGUGACAACCACAACAUUGUGAGUGCCAAAAUGGCUAAGGACCUUCUCAUAUUGAAGACAAGAUCUCAUUCAGGUCCUUCCUGUGAAGGACUUCAAAGAUAGAUGGCCAGCCUUGUUUGAACCCAUUCAGAUUAAGGAAGACUUCAGAAGAAUUACAACUGUUGCUCUUGAGUCCACCUUUAUCCAGAAGCUGGACGAAUAUACACCAAAACUAUUGGACUUGUUUAAGACAAAAGGAGGUGCUGUAAAGGAGGACAUGCAGAAAAUCCUUGAAGUUCUGUAUGGGUGCAACACCAGCCAGGAAAGAAGAGACAGUGUAAUCCUUGGCCUGAUCAUACAGUGCCUUGCGAAAGUAUUCGGCCCCCUUGAACUUUGCGACCUUUUGCCACAUUUCAGGCUUCA